AACAAUUUUCUGCUCGUCAGGGCGAAAAUUGAUCAACCGGGCAGCUCGAAACAGUCUCUCAAUCCUCUUUAUUUUUUUUUCUCAUUUUAAUUCUUCCACACAUUUUUUCCUCCUCCCCAUAUCUCCUCCGCUCUCCGGACGCAACAACAACAGUAAUUUCGAUGGGUUUUUUUGUUUGGGUGGAAAACCAGCUUGACAUGACAAUCGAAAGCAGGAUUCAUGAUAAUAUAAUUUGAGCCAAUGGUCGCCGGUUGGCUCUCUCCACGGAUAUCACUGCCAAAUUUUGGUGAAGGAUGCGCCGGCGACAAGCCCAUCCUGGCAUACGGUUGCUUCACCCUCGGCCUCCCCUGACGGAAAAUGUCCAUCACUUCAACUUGUUGAAAUUGCUGCUGCAAUUGCCCUUAGAAAGUACAGGUGAUAUAGGAAGGAUGGAAGGAAGGAAACAUAUGUGCGGAGAGAAAAGAAAGACAUUGAAAAUCUCAAGAUGAUCCUGCCAGAUUCGAUUGCCUAAAAUUCAUCCAUCAAAUCUCACAUGACUAUCCAUGCACGUUUGAUUAAAAGCAAAAUUUCAAAACAAAUUUUGGAAAUUAUACUAUAUUAAUUUUGGAAAAGACUCACGUGCCUGUGAAGCUGCCAGUCGGCCCCAACAUCCAACCCUGAUGCGUUGAACUGAAUUCCUAGUUGCGACCAAACGACGGCGUCUCAGAAAACUUCCUCCGCAGACGUCGUCGUUCCGAGCCUCCUGGGUGAACAGUCCGUUUAUGCUGAUAAUUCAAAUGCAAAACGGGGGGCAAUUCGGUAAUUACAAAAGUUUCGGUUCAUAACUGACGCAGCUCAAACCCCUUCUGCCCGAAACAAAGCUCCUUCAGUCCCCAGAUAUGGAAGCAGCCGAGAAAAUGGUGGCGCUGAAGAAAGCGUACGUGAAGAUAAUCCUCAACACGGCAAAGGAGGCGGCUGCUCGCGUCAUUGCGUCGGAGCGUCGAGCUUUUCAGUCUCAGCGGGAUCUGUGGUCCGUGAAGAACGAGGGCCUUCGAAUGCUCCAGCGCUUGAAGCAAAGGCUUGAUUUUAAGAUAACUGAAGCAGAGUUAACAGCCACAAGUCAACAAAGAAAGAUUGAGGUUCUUGAAGCACAACUCAAUGAGGCAGAGGAUAUAGUAGCAGACCUUAGAAUAGAGUUGAAGUUGAUGCAGAAUGAACUGGAGAAGGUGAAGAAAAAUCGAAUGCAGCCUUCAAAUGGACAGAUUGCAAAAGAGCCAUGUCAAGGAAAUAACAUUGAGAACAAGUCCCAUACUUAUGAGCCAAUUGCAUUUGGUUGCUCAGAUUCAGGGCGUACAAAAUUAAUGUCUGACUUGAAUGCAUCUAUAAAUCAGGAUUUUCUGGUCAAUCGAUGCUGUAAUGCCAGUGAACAGAUGGUGCCAUCUAGUGAUUCUCAUUUGGCGAAUUCUCAUUCUGAUAAUCCUGAUUUAGCCUCCAAAGUUGUGAGAACUAAAGAGCCAAAGAUGUGUACAAAUGGAUUUACAAAUCGAUUUCCUCAGCAAAUUUACAUGUUUGAAGGAAACUUGGUAGGGGGAAAAUUGCAUUCUGGUGUAGUUGAUGAUCAACCCAACAUAAGUAACUCAAUCUCAGUAGAUGGAAAAGAGGAAAUAACAUUCUCUACACCCUCUCCCAAGACCAUGAAUGAGGAUACAAUGAAGAACCCAGUUGUGUUGGAAGAAGUGAUGCAAAUUGAUAGUUGCACUUGUGGGGGGCAACCUGUCAGGGUCUCUCGCAGCUUGAGGAGACGAAAGGUUCUAUAUAGGAACACUAAAGCUAGAUCUCCAAAGUAUUAUGUGAGGCAACGCAUUAAUUCAUUGCAACCAUUUUCUACUCUUUCCUGUUGCCAAACAAUUUUGGAUUCUGUGAAGGAUAAUACAAUCUCUGGUGUAGCCUCUAUUAGACCCUUCUACAAGGCUGACAAUAUGGGUGCAAUAAAAAUUUCUGCUUGGCUCGAGGAAAAUUUACAGUUCAGAAAAUGCUGUUCUAAAGAUCAAGCUGAUAAAAUUGUUACUGAAGGAUGUAGAAAAAGGAAACUGAAACACAACGACAUGCUUGCUACAUCAUCUGAGCCUUGUCCUUGUCAGCUUACUAAAUCUGAUCAACCAUCUUUUCUUUCUUGUUGCAAGAAUUAUUUGUAUCCUGCCAAGGAUAGUGUUAAAUCUAAUGGAGAUAUGGUGGAUGUAACUGAUACUGCAGAAAAGAUGAAGCCAUCAUUUCAUCUGGAUUUGGCAAUUAAUAAACCUAUUAUUGUCCCAAAUGCUGCAAAGGAGAAAGAAGUGAUAGGUGAAUCUGCUUUACUGGAACAUGAAACUGAGACAUCCAAGAGUUUAAUGGUUCCAAUAUGUGAAAUGGAACCCAAGAUGGUUGCUUUUUCGUUAGCAGAUGCUGAGAUGGUGGAUGCAAAAGCGUCUGAAGCAGAUAAUGGAGCUCCUAGUCAAGCUAACAAUGACAGGUUUUUCAAGUACACCUUCCAAAGAAAGCGCAAGAAGGAAUCCUUAAGAAGCUCCCAUGAGAAUCUUCUCUUGGGAAGCACACCAUGAAGAAGAGGCUGGAGAAAUAAAGACAUUGUUGCUUCAGAGCAACUAAAAUCUAGCUUCAUAAAUGAUUAGAGUUAGGACAGUUGGCAACUGGCACAGGUUGCUUGUCAGCUUGUGUCUUUGCAUGAAAAAGAUGGUGGUAAUAGAGUUUCUCCUUAAUCCUACUGGAACAAAGUUCCACAUGAUGGGAGAAAAAAACUUACAAUCCUCACCUGUGUAUGAUAGCUCUAAAGAUUCCAGAUGGAUACCUUACAACGCUCACUUGUGUGCAAUAGAGCUAAUGAUUCCUGAUGAGUAAACUCUGGUCGAUGCCCAUUAUCAUCAUAUCAUUUCUCCAUUUAAAACUUUCUUUUAGACAUGUAUGCAAACUGUUAUCAAAUCGAAUGUUUUUGUUCUCAUCUAUUUUGAUUAGUUGGUAGGAGUAAAAUUUUUUCAAAGCAAUAAUAUCUGGGUUAUAAGAUUUGAAGCUUUGCACUUUUAGCAUUCUGGAUUAAAAAAAUAAAUAAAUCACAAACACGUCAUUUGUGCA